rnacentral:lncRNA from 1 species
CUGUUAUUGCUAAUAUUUUGUUUGUUUAGCAAUUUGCCUAUAGUAAGUCUGAAAUGUUACACCUCCAUGGUAUUUGGCUGCUGAUGUGUCUGCCUGGGUUUUUAAGUUUUUUAAUUUUUGGUUUUUAUUUUUAAAGCCUGGAGUCCCAGGGAUCACCUCUGUGUCUGAACAGCUUAGUAGUCAGCCUAUAAUUGGUCAGAUUGGUCUGCUGGUAGGACAUUCAAUAUACAACAGUAUUUAAAUCUUUCUGCCAUGCCCUCUUGUGUUUCCUCUGUAUAUGCACACAGGUUUAUGGUCAGCUAUGGAUGAGUGGGCAGUUGGAGCCCACUCUGGUCUCUCCUGAGCAGAUUUGUGGAGAGCCUAUAAAAUCCUCUUAUGACUGUCUUACUUCCCUGAUCUCCAUACCAAAUAUCUGGCUAGUCUUCUGGUUCACUGCUUGCCUCAAACCAGGAGGCAACCUCCAUCUAGCUGAGCCAGUGGUGUUCCCACUCAUUUGCUAAGAUCACUACUAUUACUGACUGGACAUGGGAUUUUUCUCUGCUCUGUUUCAAAUCAACUCAAGCUCCUCCUCUCCAUUAAUCAAGCUGCUGGAUUUCUCACACUACCUUGCCCUGCUAGGUUGAGUUAAGGUAAAGAACAGCAGUCACUCCAAGCAAAAGGAUAUCAACCCCUGUUUUCUUAUCAUGAUUAAUUGCUUCUCAACCUGACGGGUGCCUUUGGUCGUUUCCAAAGCCAUGAAAUGGUUAUAUUUGACAAGUCUGUCCAGUUUUAUUAUUGCCUUUUUAAGAGAGGAGUUGCCAACUUAUAAUUUCCAUCAUAUUGGACAUUUUGCCCCCAGUAUACCUUAUGUCUUCAAAAAGAACUACAAAUUAUUAUGUGACAUAAACAUACAAUUUUUUCCUAUUAACUAGUUUGGGAAAUCAGCUUUUAUCCAUCUUCUCUUUUCUGGAUCCUAGAGACCUCACAUUUGAAUACAGAUGUUUUUUUUCUUUUCCUAAUCAAAUAGUAAGUUAGCCAAGUAAAAUAACAUAGGAAAGAGAGGUUUCAUGAAAUCAAUAGCUUCCAACAUCUGCAGAAUAAGGUCAGUUGUAAAAAGAUUCUCUAUUUUUGACUGUUUCUCAUAUACUCUGUAAGGAAUAAGAGAAGUGGUUUUUCUUUCAGGUAUUAAAGUUAACUUCAAAGGUGAAAGGGAGAAACAAGAGGGUCAAAAAGAAAGAGGAAGGAGAAGAACCUUAAGCCCUAGUCCUAGGCUACAAAGAAAGAAAAAAAAAGAAGAAUAUUUAACUUUCUACCAAUAAAAACUUGAAGCCAAGGAUAUUAAGAACAGGAAAUUCAGAAGAACUGAAUGAGCCAGCCACUCCCUCAAUACCAAACCAAGUAACUCAAUAUUAGUAUUUAUUUUGUGCCCACAAAUUCUGGAAAAUGACUCCAAGGUUCAGCCAGUUAUAUAUAAUCAGAGGGAAUUUUUUAAUUGUGUAGGGUUUUUGAGAACCAAGUGUCCACCCCAAUUCCCUGAAAAACAGCUGCAUCAAAAAUAUAGCAACUCAAAUACAACUGGCUCUGCCUACCAUGCUACAGAAAAUUUAAUGACUUUAGUCUGUUCCCCACACUUUUCUCCCUCCACCCCACUGCUUUGCCUAAAUGGCCAAGAACAUAGUAUUUCUUUGUCCAAAGAGCCAACAUUCAAAUAAGAACAAACAUGUGUGCUCAAGGCUGCCAAAUAUUACCAGAUGAACCGCUCUUUGCCUCCAAAGGAUUUCACCUGACUUCCAACUUCCCCAAUAAGCUUGUAGUCAUUUUUGGGUCCUACUACAAACCAUUAACCCAAAGAUGGCUACAACCUGGCAAAAAUGUUGUGAAGCCAUCUUCCCAUUCCCCUUUCCUUAGGCAGAAUUAGAUUAAGAUAGAGGAAUAUUUGUUGUGUUAAGGAUAAGAGACUGAGCUGAAAUAUAAACUGUACUGGGUGUAACUCAAGCUUACUGAAACCACUCCUGUCAGGCAUCAAAGCUGCCCAAACAGCCCUCCUGUGGCUUCCAACAGAAACUCUAAACAGCCCUUUCCUGUCUGUCUGAAGGCAGUGACAGCACCGAUGAGCCACUAACAAGCCACUACUGCUGCUCUUGUAAUCCUUCUGGAGAGUCUAUACGAUGUAUCAAAAUGGAAUGCAUACCCUUAGUAAAAUGGUAUUAAAACUACCUGCCAAAAUUAGAAGAGUGAGAAUAAAAGAGGUCGAUCCAGGGUAACAAAGAUUUUCAACAUCAUGAAGAUUUCUUUCCAAUUCUAUCCUAUUUCAUAGCUCUAAUGUUUAGAACCUACUGAAAGAAUACCUACAAAUGCUUGGAUUUUCCCUGCCUGACUGCAGAGGGCCACGCAGUUGCCUUGGGCCCACUGAACUCCCAAUUCCACUGCCAGCCUCGGCACACACUUCUAGUGCCAUUUGGCUCUACUAUGGCUAUAUUCAACUUAGAAGUACCUAAACCAUAUUUUCUCCAUUUUUUUCUGGCCACUCCAAGUCUCCAAUUUUCUUUUCUGGCAUCUUCGAACCCCUUAGGAGCCAUGAAAUGUCAAUCAAUGCAUGGGCAUUCCAAACUAUAUAUCUGGAUUUGCCUUUUAUAAAACCACAGCCCUCAGCACAAAAGACUACAAUCCCCUUUAUAAGAGGCUGACCUGUAGUGGGAUGCACCUGGGAUAAAAAUCUUUAUGAGACUAAAUAAUUCUAACUUUGUCUCAAAUAUGAGUAUCAUGCCCUGAAUACUUAAUCCUGGUGGUCGAUGAGGCAAAGUCACCUGGCAUUCCAAUAAAAUCCUUAUAUAGUCACCCUAUGUUAAGAUUUAGAAAUGGGAAAAUACAAAUGAAAACAUUAGAAUAAAGCAGUUACUCCCCGCUAUGGUGGGGCCAGACAGUGAAGUCUUUAGCUAAUGCCUGAAAUAGUGAACGGCCACCAUGAAAGAAGGUAGAACACAAUUACAUCUCUCUCCUGUGUGCCCCUCACCCAGAGGCAAAAGAAUUGUGGCCACCAGAAAAAUGGAUAGGAUCUCUUUACUGGAUGGGAAAUACUGUGCGAAGCAGUUCAAGCAUAUUUCCUGCUAGAGGUACCUUCCAUCCACUGGGACACUGAAACACCCAGAGAAUAGGCAGAGGAGCCUGGGAGGGGAAUAGACUGGGCUACCUGCCAGAGGGUAUGGUCCAGCCCUCCCACCUCCUCACCAUCUUUCUCAUCCAUGGCAUCCUGUGUAAGAAGGGACUGGGAGUGAGGACAUUAAGGGUCUCACCUCAUCCUAGCAAAGCCAUGAUCACAGACCAGGAAGCUGCUGUAUGUGCACCGUGUCAGCCAACUGGCUUCCAGGGGCUGGGCCACUAUCAAAACAGAUGCUUUGCCACCUUGGCUCUUCUUCAAUUCAAAGGAGGAGAGAGAAGGAGGAAUAAAAAGAGGAAGGGAAGGAGGAAGAAAGGGGUAGAUAUGUGGAAGAAGAGGGAAGAAAAAGAAGGGAGCAAAGCACUUACUAUAGGCUUGUGUAAUCCCCCUCCCCCAACACUUAUUAGACUCGACUCACAGAAUGAGGAGUAACCAGCCUAGUCCUUGCAACCAAGUGCCUGCUGAUAAUGGAUUCAUUUGCAAUUUAAUGAAUUCACCAUCCAUUUUCAAUUUUCCUCUUUUCCAUUGAAUGAAUAGUAACACUUAUUAUAUACAUGUGAUAAAAACAUGUGGGGAGUGAGGGAGGCAGGGUGCAAACUGGUACUCAAAAGGAACUGUAAUUAAAUGAGAAGAGGCUACCUCUCAUAUGUAAAGGUCUGCUAAGGACCUGAGCUCCCUGGAAGCAUGCUUGCUUACUAUCUUUACCAGUGACAACAGUGGAUCUGCCCUGAGCCAGGCUUCUGUCUAGGGAGGGGGGAGUGGAGACCCAUGAGCUAGCUGGAGACCUCACCUUGAAACAUGGACUUCCUAUUCUUUAUUAUUUUUUUCUUACCUUUUUUUGGGGGGGGGAGCUGCACUCACACCAUGUGAAAAUUCCCAGGACAGAGAUCGAACCUCUAUCACAGCUUGUGUCGAACCCGAGCCACAGCAGUGACAAUGCCAGAUCCUUAACCCACUGUACCAUCAGGAAACUAUGGUACUUGCCUAUUAUGAUCAACUUUAGUAUCUGGACCAACUGCAGUGGCUUUUCAAAUUGCUUCAAGAACAGGAGGUCAUGUGCUUUGAUCAUGCCCCCUGCAAGGCCUGGCAAGCCUACAGCACAAUCACUAAGGACUAGAGUUGCCCACGCAAUCUCCAAAGAGAAAUUUAGCCACCAGCUAUGUCCCAAGACAAAGGGACUAGUGAGGAAGACAGAUCCAAAUGGAGGAAAAAAACCUACUAAGUGAUGUCUGGGCCCCUGGACUGGUCAGGGUUGGCAGGGGCGGUGUGGGUGGGAGGGGAUAAAACUAAAUUCUACUAAAAUCUUAGAAUUUUGGAGUUGGGAAGAUCUUAGAGAACCCAAAUCCUUUAACUGCAAAGAUAAAUAAAACAGACUUUGUCUUUAUCCUCAAGUUAAAACUUCAUUUAGCAGAGCUGGCAAUAGAAGCAAAUUCUCCAGGGACCAGACACAACAUGAUGGGCUGCAAAGAGCUUGGAGUCAGGUCACAGCUGUUCUAGUUAAGACAGGAGAUCUUGAGCAAAUGACACUCCUCACUGCUGUCCUCCAAAAGUGAACUAGGAGGGACAUGCAAAUCCUGCUUCCUGAGGAACACUGUUCCAAAGUCACAGACACAAUCUGAAAACCCAUCACCAAAGGAGGCCAUGUUUACCUGCCAAGAUAAAUUUCCAUUUCACUCAUCAAACCCUUUCACACAUUAAAAACGUCCAACUCCAGACAAUAAAGGAUGAUACGAUUAUGUACAUCAACCCAACCUGGCCUGACCCAGCCUACUGCAGCAAUGAAUUUGAGAGGAGAACAUUCUAGAUAAAUAGUCACAGAAAGGUCCCAGAAUGGACUAGACUCUACAACUGCUGAUACACUGGCAGAGAUGAGGCACGGGCUCAACAAAGCCUGUGUGACCACCAAAUACAGAACUUCCAUAGAUUCUAGUAGGACCCAAGUUUUAAAAGCUGUUAGCAACAGUGGACUCAGCCAGUAAUCAUAGUGACUACUAACACAAUAUAUCAAUAUACUCUCUCCCAACAGCCAAUGAACAACCCUAACUUGGCCUGCAGAGCCCUCAACCUCAGCCUAUAGCCCUCUCACUCUUACUCAUUGCCCUCCAGCCACACUGGCCUCACUUUGACCUACGGAUAUGCUAAGCAAAGUCCUGACCUCUGGACUCUCCCCCUUACGUUUCCUCUCUCUUCGGUGCCCUUCCAGGUAGUGGCUCCCUUACUUCAUUUAGAUUUCAGCUCAGAACCCUUUUCCAACCAUCCUAAAUGUACUCUCAACCACCCUCAGGUCUCUUAACCUUGCUUUAUUUAUUCAUUUAUUUAAGGUUUUAUUUAUUUUUAUUGAUUUUUAUUUUUUUCCAUUAUAGUUGGUUUAUGGUAUUGUGUCAAGUUUCUACUGUACAGCAAAGUGAUCCAGUCUCACACACACACACACACACAUAUACACAUUCUUUUUCUCAUAUUAUCUUCCAUCAUGUUCCAUCACAAGUGACUAGAUAUAGUUCCCAGUGCAGCAUGAUCUAACUGCUUAUCUACUCCAAAUGCAAUAGUUUGCACCUAUUAACCCCAAGCUCCCAGUCCAUCCUACAUUCCUCCCCCUCCCCCUCGGCAACCACAAGGUGGUCGUUGUCCAUUUCAUUUUGCAUUAUGUCCCAGCACCCAGAGGAGGCUGCACAAAUACUUACUGAGCUAUGUAAUUACAUUUCCAGCCACUGUGAACCAAUCUAAUCAUGAAUGAUCUUGUCUUCCUUGGUUCCACUGAUGAAGUGUUCUCUGCUAUGCUUCUCUACCAUUAUUGCAAAGUGCUGAGGGUACUGGUUUUGCAUUGCAGUUUGGUCCCUCCAGUAUAUUUUUCUCUGCUGGCAACAGAUAACGAAAUAAGAGAAAAAGCCACAGAAUCAGCAAGCCCCUCUGGCAAAGUGAUCAGUUAUGCUCCACCAGCCCACUGGUGCCCAUUUUCAGAGGGGCCACCCUUUUCAAUGCAAAACCAGCCACAGGGGCUGCAAAUUCCAGCAGGAAACUGGAGGAUGAUGGGGAGAGGUUUUAGAAAACAAUUUCCAUAUGUGGUCAGACAUCAGUACAAACCCAACUGUGUGACACGACUAAGACGGGAACGGAUGCCUGGUUCACAUGCGGUGUGAACACAGGAAGAGCGUGACAGAGGAGGGGGCUGAGCCAAACACCAGUUCCACAUUUACUGUACUGUUAAGUGGAACUGGUCUCCGUCAUCUGCUUUAAUCUCCCACAAAACCCCCUGAAAAAUGCUGAGAAGCUCAUAUUAGGGAAGAUGAUCAGAGAAAUGCAAAGGAAACAGCUCCUGCUAGAAACGGUAAGAGCCAGCACUCACAAUGCUUCAAGUGGCCAAGAUAAAGCUGGUGGGAGCAGCUCUUCUUGGUUUCAUUACAUUGGUUCAUGUGUACGUUAUCUGGAAGAGGGGUAAACCCGAGCAUGUGUGUGUAGAAUGACUGGACCCCAGAGAGCCUGUCCUGAAUGUGCCCAGCCUGCAAGGUGCCAGCCAUUCUUCAAGUCAGCCCUGAGAACAUGCCCUUUCAUCAGGGGUGGGUAUCCAGGACCACUCCCGGGUUCAGUGACUUGCUGUGAAGACUCACAGCUAAGAUUUAUUUUAGCAAACGCAAAACCAGCAAAAGGAAAAAGUGCAGAGGGCCAAGUCCAAAGGAAACCAGGCACAACCUUAUGAGGCCUCUCUCAGUGGAGUCAUACAAGAUGCGGUUAAUUCCUCCAGUCACGAGUUGGGACACCAUGUGUGAAAUGCUGUCUAGCUUGUCCGAGACUUGAUGCCCAGGGCUUUCACUGAGCGCUGGGCACACAGGCACCUGCUGCCUGGCAUAAGCCAAGAUGCAAAACUCCCAGAAGGAAAGCAGGCAUUCAGCACAAACCACACUGUUUGCAUGAGCACUUUGAGCUGCUCUUAUCAGGAAAUGCUAGGAACCCUCCUGAAAUCUAAGUUCCCAGAAGCCAGCCAUGGGCUAACCUUGAAAGCAGGCCUUUCUAAGAAUAACAGUCUCAGGACUGAACCCUUUCAGCGCAGUCAGCCCUACGUCAUACCAAGUCUGUCACCUCUAUAAACUCCUAAAACACAGCAUGCUACUGUCAAGACGGCCCUGCCUCACCCAGCAUGUGAGACAGUGGGUGGGAAGCAGCAGCUGGCAGUUUUGUGCCUGGGCCACUACCCAGGGGCGCUCUCAUCAGCAGGGACUCUGAAGAGCCACAGCAAGGAUAUCACAUACAGGAAGAGAAAGGCCAUAUCCCAGGGCACAGAGCCCAGCAGCAAUUCUCCCCAGUCAGAGAGGGAGAGGCAGGGCCGCACAGCAGAAGAUAAGCCCCACUGAGCCAAGGCCGUGCGGUGGGGGCCAGCCAAGCUGAGGUGCUCAGCCGCCAGCACAAGUACAGCCCGUGAGAAAUCAGAGUCUGGGUCCUGAGGUGAUGGAAGUGACAGUCACAGGGGCAGAUGCGGAGAAGCCCUGGGAGGAAGACUGGGGCCCUACGCAUAAGUGAGAUGAGGGACAUCCAAAAAAGACUGGUGGUUCAAACAUAUAGAGAGAGGCUUUCAGCUUCCACAUGCUUACCACUGGCAUCCACCUGCUGGUUAUUGUUAUUUAAGUAUGAUUUGUCUCUGUAAUGCUUUGAAAAUAGUGGCAAAAUGAGGUUUGAGCAGAUUAAGCUCAUUUUGCACAUCUGAUAUUUCCAGAAGGCACAGGGAGUGGGGAGGAGAGCAGAAACGGAAGUGGGGUGGCUUUCAGGUAGGACAUGGUUACAAAGCAACAUUUCUGGAACCCUCCUA